CGGGGCGUAGCGCAGCGGUAGCGCAGCUGCUUUGGGAGCAGCAGGUCGGCGGUUCGACCCCGCCCGCCCCGACCA
rnacentral:tRNA from 2 species